GGUACCGUAGCCAAGUGGUAAGGCCCCGGUCUGCAAAACCGUUAUUCGCCAGUUCAAAUCUGGCCGGUACCUCCA
rnacentral:tRNA from 1 species